AAGAAAAACUAGCUGUCACCUCCCAAGUUAACCAAUCAUAGGGUCGAAACAACAACGGCAUUUUCAUUUAGCUUCUUAGUGCCGUUACCUCUUCAAACCUACACGAGAACUCAAAUCGCUCAGCAAAGUUUCUUUUAUGUUGUUCUCUUUCCCAACCCAAAUCCUGAAAAUUUUCUUUCACGAUAUUACAAUUCCAGUUUUCCCUCAUUCUCUCGGAUAUUGGCCUGAUCGAAGAAGUUACUUUCAUACGGACGACUGGCACAUGUAUAGAUCCUUUCCAUUGAGGAUUCUGUUGUGACUCGACGAGUCUUUCUACAACCAAAUCACAUUGUACGAAGGACAGAACUUCAACUGAUUCUAGCUAUUAUCUUCAUCGUUAUUUAGCGAUAAUUGCCGCUGAUUACGUUCACCUUCGGCGGUGCCCUCCAUAUAAGGAGGGAAAAUAUGAAGAUCAGGAGGGACUAAGGGGAGAUUCAGGGCGGGAGAGUGAGAAUGAGACGGAGGGAGCCACAAAAGGUGUGAUUGUGGAAAAUUUUAGAGAGAAACCAGAGACCGAGAAUCAUAUCAGAGUUAAGGUCAGAGAGGGAUGCAGAUGAGUUAGGUGAAAGAUUUGUGGUAUGACAAGCAAGGAAACCAAACCGUAUAGUAGCAAAAUGGCAUGAAAGGAAAAUAUGGUCAAUUGAUUCUUCCUGGUCAUAUCUAAAAACACAAAGUUGCUUGAUUGGUGAGUAAUGGGCAUUAAGGAUAUCUUGGGAGGGAAUGGAUUUAUUGAGAAUUUUCCAAGUUAAAAAAGUGUACUUAUGAGGAAUUUUGAGCUUUCAAUAGGCUAAGAAUGGUGCAAGUUACGAAAACCUUCUUUAACUUUAUAACAACCAGAUGAAUGAUCUAUCCAAACUAGUUUGUCCUUUAGACCCCGUGUAGGACAUAGGGACAUGAGCAAGAUUGGUCUAUAAAAGGGAUUUAGAAAGAGUAUUAUUCCAAACAAGUGGAAAGUAAGGGUUGCUAGCAAGAGUGAGAAGGUCAGAAACUUUGAGGUUAUUGAAAUCUAGCUUUUGAAUCAAGGGGAAUGAUCCAAGUUAGAAAGAACGGGUGUCAUGUUGAUGCCUCACCUUUUAGUAGGUAAAAAUGUGGUCUUAUUGCAUGACAUCCUCCUGAUAGUGUGCAUUACCUCAACGCCUAUCCUAAUGUUGAGAGUUUCUCAUGUGAUGUCAUCCUCUACUACAAAAAAGCUUAUGAAAGCAUUUAAUUUUAUCUUGAGCAUUUGGAAGUGC